AUUGAUCGCUGGCGGCAUGCUUUACACAUGCAAGUCGAACGGUAACAGGGUGCUUGCACCGCUGACGAGUGGCGAACGGGUGAGUAAUGCGUCGGAACGUGCCGAGUAGUGGGGGAUAACGCAGCGAAAGUUGUGCUAAUACCGCAUACGUACUGAGGUAGAAAGUGGGGGACCUUCGGGCCUCACGCUAUUCGAGCGGCCGACGUCUGAUUAGCUAGUAGGUGAGGUAAAGGCUCACCUAGGCGACGAUCAGUAGCGGGUCUGAGUGGAUGAUCCGACACACUGGGACUGAGACACGGCCCAGAAUCCUACGAGAGGCAGCAGUGGUGAAUUUUGGACAAUGGGCGAAAGCAUGUUCCAGCCAUGCCGCGUGUCUGAAGAAGGCCUUCGGGUUGUAAAUGACUUUUGUCAGGGAGGAAAUCCCUAGUGCUAAUAACACUGGGGGAUGACAGUACCUGAAGAAUAAGCCCCGGCUAACUACGUGCCAGCCGCCGCCGUAA
rnacentral:rRNA from 1 species